GUGGGGAAUAUUGGACAAUGGGCGAAAGCCUGAUCCAGCCAUGCCGCGUGUGUGAAGAAGGUCUUCGGAUUGUAAAGCACUUUAAGUUGGGAGGAAGGGCAGUAAGUUAAUACCUUGCUGUUUUGACGUUACCGACAGAAUAAGCACCGGCUAACUUCGUGCCAGCAGCCGCGGUAAUACGAAGGGUGCAAGCGUUAAUCGGAAUUACUGGGCGUAAAGCGCGCGUAGGUGGUUUUGUAAGUUGGAGGUGAAAUCCCCGGGCUCAACCUGGGAACUGCCUCCAAAACUGCAUGACUAGAGUACGGUAGAGGGUAGUGGAAUUUCCUGUGUAGCGGUGAAAUGCGUAGAUAUAGGAAGGAACACCAGUGGCGAAGGCGACCACCUGGACUGAUACUGACACUGAGGUGCGAAAGCGUGGGGAGCAAACAGGAUUAGAUACCCUAGUAGUCC
rnacentral:rRNA from 1 species